ACGACCUUACUUGAACAGGAUCUGUUCUAUAGGAUCGUACUACUAUUCCCUUAAGUAAUAAGGAGACUAGUCAACAAGUUUGGUGGAUGAAAAAUAAUCCUUUGACCAGAGCGUGAUUGACUGAUAAAUUGGGUUUCAAUUAAAUCAUGUAGAUGAUCGUUCUCAGAUAUUGGGUUUGCUUACCCAUUCUGUGAAGGUCUUGGGGUUUUCUGACAGAUU
rnacentral:snoRNA from 1 species